rnacentral:rRNA from 1 species
GACGAACGCUGGCGGCGUGCCUAAUACAUGCAAGUCGAACGAACUCUGGUAUUGAUUGGUGCUUGCAUCAUGAUUUACAUUUGAGUGAGUGGCGAACUGGUGAGUAACACGUGGGAAACCUGCCCAGAAGCGGGGGAUAACACCUGGAAACAGAUGCUAAUACCGCAUAACAACUUGGACCGCAUGGUCCGAGCUUGAAAGAUGGCUUCGGCUAUCACUUUUGGAUGGUCCCGCGGCGUAUUAGCUAGAUGGUGGGGUAACGGCUCACCAUGGCAAUGAUACGUAGCCGACCUGAGAGGGUAAUCGGCCACAUUGGGACUGAGACACGGCCCAAACUCCUACGGGAGGCAGCAGUAGGGAAUCUUCCACAAUGGACGAAAGUCUGAUGGAGCAACGCCGCGUGAGUGAAGAAGGGUUUCGGCUCGUAAAACUCUGUUGUUAAAGAAGAACAUAUCUGAGAGUAACUGUUCAGGUAUUGACGGUAUUUAACCAGAAAGCCACGGCUAACUACGUGCCAGCAGCCGCGGUAAUACGUAGGUGGCAAGCGUUGUCCGGAUUUAUUGGGCGUAAAGCGAGCGCAGGCGGUUUUUUAAGUCUGAUGUGAAAGCCUUCGGCUCAACCGAAGAAGUGCAUCGGAAACUGGGAAACUUGAGUGCAGAAGAGGACAGUGGAACUCCAUGUGUAGCGGUGAAAUGCGUAGAUAUAUGGAAGAACACCAGUGGCGAAGGCGGCUGUCUGGUCUGUAACUGACGCUGAGGCUCGAAAGUAUGGGUAGCAAACAGGAUUAGAUACCCUGGUAGUCCAUACCGUAAACGAUGAAUGCUAAGUGUUGGAGGGUUUCCGCCCUUCAGUGCUGCAGCUAACGCAUUAAGCAUUCCGCCUGGGGAGUACGGCCGCAAGGCUGAAACUCAAAGGAAUUGACGGGGGCCCGCACAAGCGGUGGAGCAUGUGGUUUAAUUCGAAGCUACGCGAAGAACCUUACCAGGUCUUGACAUACUAUGCAAAUCUAAGAGAUUAGACGUUCCCUUCGGGGACAUGGAUACAGGUGGUGCAUGGUUGUCGUCAGCUCGUGUCGUGAGAUGUUGGGUUAAGUCCCGCAACGAGCGCAACCCUUAUUAUCAGUUGCCAGCAUUAAGUUGGGCACUCUGGUGAGACUGCCGGUGACAAACCGGAGGAAGGUGGGGAUGACGUCAAAUCAUCAUGCCCCUUAUGACCUGGGCUACACACGUGCUACAAUGGAUGGUACAACGAGUUGCGAACUCGCAAGAGUAAGCUAAUCUCUUAAAGCCAUUCUCAGUUCGGAUUGUAGGCUGCAACUCGCCUACAUGAAGUCGGAAUCGCUAGUAAUCGCGGAUCAGCAUGCCGCGGUGGAUACGUUCCCGGGCCUUGUACACACCGCCCGUCACACCAUGAGAGUUUGUAACACCCAAAGUCGGUGGGGUAACCUUUUAGGAACCAGCCGCAUAAGGUGGGACAGAUGAUUAGGGUG